AAUAUUUCAUGGAGAUUUUGUAUAAUAGUACACAAGAAAAAAUCUUUGAAAAUAAAACAAAAGUUAAGUAUCAAUACAAAUGAAUUAUAUUUUAAAAGCAGAUGAAUUACGCAUACACCUUAAGAAAAUAAAGUCAAAAGUCUGAUUUAUUUGCAGUGAUGUACAGUUUAAUAAUCUCCCCUCAAUGAAAUAUUUCUUUAUGUAAAUUAUCUCCCCUCAAUGAAAUAUUACAUUAUGUAAAUUAUCUCCCCUCAAUGAAAUAUUACUUUAUGUAAAUUAUCUCCCCUCAAUGAAAUAUUACUUUUCGGUAAUGUACAU
rnacentral:lncRNA from 1 species